rnacentral:rRNA from 1 species
UACGGAGGAUGCGAGCGUUAUCCGGAUUCAUUGGGUUUAAAGGGUGCGCAGGCGGCCUUACAAGUCAGCGGUGGAAGUCAGGGGCCCAACCCCGGAAGUGCCGUUGAUACUGUGGGGCUGGAAUGCGGUCGAGGGGGCGGAAUGUGGUGUGUAGCGGUGAAAUGCAUAGAUAUGCCACAGAACGCCGAUAGCGAAGGCAGCUCGCCAGGCCUGCAUUGACGCUCGGGCACGAAAGCGUGGGGAUCGAACA